ensembl:lncRNA
AGACAGACACGCCAAAAUAGCUGCCGCGUCUCUGUCGGAUCUCGUCUGUUUAUCGAUCUCACUUCAGCUCAGAAUCCCAUUCCGCUACUGCUGUCCCAUAUGAAGAGGGGGAAAGAAAGCACUCCCCGACCACGCACAUUCACACCGAAGCCUUCUUCAACUUACUCGCUGACCAGCUUUUUCGCAGCGGAAGAUGAGUGAUAAAGAUAAAAAGGCCGGCCUCUUCUCUUCUCACCUGAGACAGCUGCUGGGUACUGUCGUGUUGGACUCCGAUUUCGCUGCUGCUGCUGGUAUUGAAAUAUCUGACCGCUGCUAUUUGCUUGUUAAGCAUGAUCAUAACCCUUUACCCUUGUGACAAAAGUCACCACAAUCGUGUAGCAGUCUAAUGCUUGUGGCUAGCUGAUGAAGUGGAGCUGCUGCAUGGUCUUAGCGGUUGCUGUUUCUGUAAUCUGUGAGGUAAGUUCUACAACUGUACAAAUCCCCAAAUUACCACUACGAAUGUCAUUUGUAUGCAAGAGGAGUAGAAAAGCAGUAUGAGGGUCUGCGCUCAGUCUUGAAUGAAU